rnacentral:rRNA from 1 species
UACGGGGGGGGCAAGCGUUGUUCGGAAUUACUGGGCGUAAAGGGUUCGUAGGUGGUCAAUUAAGUCAGACGUGAAAUCCCUCGGCUUAACCGGGGAACUGCGCCUGAUACUGGUUGACUUGAGUUUGGGAGAGGGACGCGGAAUUCCAGGUGUAGCGGUGAAAUGCGUAGAUAUCUGGAGGAACACCGGUGGCGAAGGCGGCGUCCUGGACCAAUACUGACACUGAGGAACGAAAGCCAGGGGAGCAAACGGG